ensembl:lncRNA
GAGAGAAUGAGGUGACAGAAAGAGAAGAGGGAGAGAAUGAGGUGACAGAAAGAGAAGAGAAGAGUGAGAGAAUGAGGUGACAGAAAGAGAAGAGUGAGAGAAUGAGGUGACAGAAAGAGAAGAGAAGAGAAUGAGGUGACAGACAGAGAGAGGGAGAGAAUGAGGUGACAGAAAGAAAAGAGUGAGAGAAGAAAAAUAUUUCAAGACAUGAGAGCAAAGCCAGCGCUGCAUGUUUCAUAUUCGUUUAGUUGAUUUUCAUUUCCUCCUCUCACCUCUCUCUCCUCAACCCCUCUCUCCUCAACCCCUCUUUCCUCAACCCCUCUCUCCUCACCCCUCUCUCCUCACCACCUCUCUCCUCACCACCUCUCUCCUCACCACCUCUCUCCUCAACACCUCUCUCCUCACCAACUCUCUCCUCAC